rnacentral:rRNA from 1 species
GUUUCCGUAGGUGAACCUGCGGAAGGAUCAUUAUUGAAUGAACUUGGUGUGGUUGUUGCUGGCUCUCUUGGGGGCAUGUGCACACCCGCCAUCCUCAUCUCUCCACCUGUGCACUUCUUGUAGACUUGGAUGGAUUUUCCGAGGCAACUCGGUCAGGGAAGAAUGCUGUGUCGGCUUUCUUUGCACCUCCAAGACUACGUUUUUUUUCCAUAUAUCCGCAGUAUGUAACAGAAUGUAUCAUUGGGCCUCAGUGCCUAUAAACCUUAUACAACUUKCAGCAACGGAUCUCUUGGCUCUCGCAUCGAUGAAGAACGCAGCGAAAUGCGAUAAGUAAUGUGAAUUGCAGAAUUCAGUGAAUCAUCGAAUCUUUGAACGCACCUUGCGCUCCUUGGUAUUCCGAGGAGCAUGCCUGUUUGAGUGUCAUUUAAUUCUCAACCUUAUUAGCUUUUGCUAAUAAUGGCUUGGAUGUGGGGGAGUUUUCUUUUGCUGGCUCUCUUUGGAKGUCGGCUCCCCUUAAUUGCAUUAGCCGGUGCCCCGCGUGGACUGUCUAUUCGUGUGAUAAUAUCUACGCCGUGSAUGUCUACAAUGGGUUUUGCACUGCUUCUAACCAUCUGUUGAUUCAGACAAUACAUGACAAUKUGACCUCAARUCAGGUAGGACUAACCGCUGAACUUAAGCAUUU